GAUGAAGAACGCAGCGAAAUGCGAUAAGUAAUGUGAAUUGCAGAAUUCAGUGAAUCAUCGAGUCUUUGAACGCACAUUGCGCCCCCUGGUAUUCCGGGGGGCAUGCCUGUCCGAGCGUCAUUGCCGCCCUCAAGCUCGGCUUGUGUGUUGGGCCCCCGCCCCCCGGCUUCGGGGGGCGGGCCCGAAAGGCAGCGGCGGCACCGCGUCCGGUCCUCGAGCGUAUGGGGCUUCGUCACCCGCUCUGUAGGCCCGGCCGGCGCCCGCCGGCGACCCCAAUCAAUCUUUCCAGGUUGACCUCGGAUCAGGUAGGGAUACCCGCUGAACUUAAGCAUAUCAAUAAGCGGAGGA
rnacentral:misc_RNA from 1 species